AUUGAACGCUGGCGGCAUGCUUUACACAUGCAAGUCGAACGGUAACAGGCCGCAAGGUGCUGACGAGUGGCGAACGGGUGAGUAAUGCAUCGGAACGUGCCCAGUCGUGGGGGAUAACGCAGCGAAAGCUGCGCUAAUACCGCAUACGAUCUGUGGAUGAAAGCGGGGGACCUUCGGGCCUCGCGCGAUUGGAGCGGCCGAUGUCAGAUUAGGUAGUUGGUGGGGUAAAGGCUCACCAAGCCGACGAUCUGUAGCUGGUCUGAGAGGACGACCGGCCACACUGGGACUGAGACACGGCCCAGACUCCUACGGGAGGCAGCAGUGGGGAAUUUUGGACAAUGGGGGCAACCCUGAUCCAGCAAUGCCGCGUGCAGGAAGAAGGCCUUCGGGUUGUAAACUGCUUUUGUACGGAACGAAAAGGCUCUGGUUAAUACCUGGGGCACAUGACGGUACCGUAAGAAUAAGCACCGGCUAACUACGUGCCAGCCGCCGCGGUAAAAC
rnacentral:rRNA from 1 species